GACGAACGCUGGCGGCGUGCUUAACACAUGCAAGUCGAACGAAGUGGCGAACGGGUGAGUAAUACGUGGGUAACCUGCCCUACUUUAUGGGAUAAGCCUUGGAAACGGGGUCUAAUACCGAAUAAAGGGGGAUGGGCUCGCGGCCUAUCAGCUUGUUGGUGGGGUGAGGGCCUACCAAGGCGGUGACGGGUAGCCGGCCUGAGAGGGUGAACGGCCACAUAGGUACGGCGCUACGUCCCAGAGGCGUACGGAGGGGAGCAGUGGGGGCUAUUGCACAAUGGGCGAAGGACUGAUGCCGCGAGGCCGCGUGAGGUAUGAAGGCUUUCGGGUUGUAAACCUCUUUCGCUAUCGAGCGGGUAGGUGGAGAAGAAGCGACGGCUAACUACGUGCCAGCAGCCGCGGUAAUAC
rnacentral:rRNA from 1 species